rnacentral:rRNA from 1 species
AUGGAGGAACUUGUCCUGAAAGAAGAUGAUCUGAUUGAUGUUGUGGUGGAAGACACCGAGAUGCCGAAGGAAGAUACGCGCUGGAUGGCACUGGCUAGGGUUCACACAGAGAAAACAUAUAGCCAAUAUUGGUUCUAUAGGAACAUGAGAGUGGCCUGGGAUCUAGCUCAAGAGGUAAAGAUUAGACCACUAGAAGAUAAUCUGUACUCGAUGCAAUUCUCUUGUCUAGGAGACUGGGAGAGGGUUAUGGGAGAUGGCCCUUGGAACUUCAAGGGGAAAGCAGUAGUUCUGUUGGAGUAUGCUGGCUUCACAAAGCCGUCGACUAUAGAACUUAACAAACUGGAUGUUUGGAUCCAGAUUCAUGACCUGCCAGAUGGCUUCUUUUCCAAGGUCAAAGCUUUGUCUGCCACUGUGGGAGAAUUUAUAUAUGUUGAGCCUAGAUUUCCGGAUUUUGAAGGUAACUUCGCGAGAGUUCGCAUCAGGAUUGAUGUCACUAAACCUCUGAAGAACGUUGUUUCGCUGGUAAUAAAGAAGAAGGACUCGGUGCAGCGAGUCAUCUUUAGAGUCAAGUAUGAAAGAUUGCCAGACUGGUGCCCAGUUUGCGGACAUCUAGGUCACCAACACAAAGAAUGUGGGGACGGGGUUCAUGCCCCAAAGGCGCUGGUCUUCAAAGACAUCAAGGACACGUGGUUCAAAGGCCCUGGCAGUGGACCGGAUGAGAGCAGCAACAUUGGGAGAGGCCGAGGCAGAGGCCGCGCGGGAAGAGGAAGAGGACGUUCUUCCAACAGUGCUGACUCAUUUGACGACCAGUAA